UUAACAGCUCUCUGUAUAAUAAUGACAGCUCUUUCAAGUGUCCGGUCUGAUGUAGUGUUGACUGAGUCCGGAGCAGGAGUUGCAAAGCCUGGAGGGUCCCAUAAACUGUCCUGUAAAGCCUCUGGAUUCACAUUCAGCAGCUACGACAUGAGCUGGGUUCGACAAACUCCUGGAAAGGGUCUGGAAUGGGUGGGCUCCAUUAGCAGCAGUGCUGCUGGUAGUAGUACAAGCUAUGCCCCGUCUGUCCAGGGAAGAUUCACCAUCUCCAGAGACGAUUCCAACAGCAUGGUGUAUUUACAAAUGAACAGCCUGAAGACCGAAGACUCUGCCGUGUAUUACUGUGCUGUAGACCCACAGUGAUGCAAUCAAACCAAGCAGUCGUACAAAAACCCCUCUAUUCAGGACUGCAGCACUGAUCACUCACAGCUUCUGCUUUCUUUUUCAUGGUUGAGUUGUGGCAGAUCAACCAUGAGAUUCAGACUGUUUGUCUGUUAGAGCACCAGACCACACUCCCCCUCCUUGAAAAAAAGUUGAUUGAUGCCCAGUUGAAUUGCCGGUGUCCUGUGGCAGUGCUUUUUUGAAACAUUACGGCUGUGUUUUCGUGGCUGAGGUUUCUGAGGGUGGCGC